rnacentral:rRNA from 1 species
GAUGAACGCUGGCGGCGUGCCUAAUACAUGCAAGUCGAGCGAAUGGAUUAAGAGCUUGCUCUUAUGAAGUUAGCGGCGGACGGGUGAGUAACACGUGGGUAACCUGCCCAUAAGACUGGGAUAACUCCGGGAAACCGGGGCUAAUACCGGAUAACAUUUUGAACCGCAUGGUUCGAAAUUGAAAGGCGGCUUCGGCUGUCACUUAUGGAUGGACCCGCGUCGCAUUAGCUAGUUGGUGAGGUAACGGCUCACCAAGGGAACGAUGCGUAGCCGGACUGGGAGGGUGAAAGGCCCCACUGGGGAUGGGACACGGCCCAGACUCCUACGGGGGGCAGGGGUAGGGAAUCUUCCGUAAUGGACGAAAGUCUGACGGAGCAACGCCGCGUGAGUGAUGAAGGCUUUCGGGUCGUAAAACUCUGUUGUUAGGGAAGAACAAGUGCUAGUUGAAUAAGCUGGCACCUUGACGGUACCUAACCAGAAAGCCACGGCUAACUACGUGCCAGCAGCCGCCGUAA